rnacentral:rRNA from 1 species
AUACGGAGGAUGCGAGCGUUAUCCGGAUUUAUUGGGUUUAAAGGGUGCGUAGGCGGACGAUUAAGUCAGCUGUGAAAUGCCCGCGCUUAACGCGGGGAGUGCAGUUGAUACUGGUUGUCUGGAGUGCCGUUGCCGUGGGGGGAAUGUGUAGUGUAGCGGUGAAAUGCAUAGAUAUUACACAGAACGCCGAUUGUGAAGACACCUCACGAAGAGGUAACUGACGCUGAGGCACGAAAGCGUGGGGAUCGAACAGGAUUAGAUGCCCUGGUAGUCCACGCAGUAAACGAUGAUGACUAACCGUCGGCGAUAGACCGUCGGUGGCCAAGCGAAAGCGAUAAGUCAUCCGCCUGGGGAGUACGACCGCAAGGUUGAAACUCAAAUGAAUUGACGGGG